rnacentral:rRNA from 1 species
AAUCAGUAAAAAUAUUCUUAGGCUAAAGUUAAGUAGUUUAAGUUGUGUGCAAGUGGUAGGAGAGCGUUCUAUUUGCGUCGAAGGUAUACCGGUAAGGAGUGCUGGAGCGAAUAGAAGUGAGCAUGCAGGCAUGAGUAGCGAUAAUUAAUGUGAGAAUCAUUAACGCCGUAAACCCAAGGUUUCCUACGCGAUGCUCGUCAUCGUAGGGUUAGUCGGGUCCUAAGUCGAGUCCGAAAGGGGUAGACGAUGGCAAAUUGGUUAAUAUUCCAAUACCAACAUUAGUGUGCGAUGGAAGGACGCUUAGGGCUAAGGGGGCUAGCGGAUGGAAGUGCUAGUCUAAGGUCGUAGGAGGUUAUACAGGCAAAUCCGUAUAACAAUACUCCGAGAACUGAAAGGCUUUUUGAAGUCUUCGGAUGGAUAGAAGAACCCCUGAUGCCGUCGAGCCAAGAAAAGUUUCUAAGUUUAGCUAAUGUUGCCCGUACCGUAAACCGACACAGGUGGGUGGGAUGAGUAUUCUAAGGCGCGUGGAAGAACUCUCUUUAAGGAACUCUGCAAAAUAGCACCGUAUCUUCGGUAUAAGGUGUGGUUAGCUUUGUAUUAGGAUUUACUCCGAAAGCAAGGAAACUUACAACAAAGAGUCCCUCCCGACUGUUUACCAAAAACACAGCACUCUGCUAACUCGUAAGAGGAUGUAUAGGGUGUGACGCCUGCCCGGUGCUCGAAGGUUAAUUGAUGGGGUUAGCAUUAGCGAAGCUCUUGAUCGAAGCCCGAGUAAACGGCGGCCGUAACUAUAACGGUCCUAAGGUAGCGAAAUUCCUUGUCGGUUAAAUACCGACCUGCAUGAAUGGCGUAACGAGAUGGGAGCUGUCUCAAAGAGGGAUCCAGUGAAAUUGUAGUGGAGGUGAAAAUUCCUCCUACCCGCGGCAAGACGGAAAGACCCCGUGGACCUUUACUACAGCUUGACACUGCUACUUGGAUAAGAAUGUGCAGGAUAGGUGGGAGGCUUUGAGUAUAUGACGCCAGUUGUAUAUGAGCCAUUGUUGAGAUACCACUCUUUCUUAUUUGGGUAGCUAACCAGCUUGAGUUAUCCUCAAGUGGGACAAUGUCUGGUGGGUAGUUUGACUGGGGCGGUCGCCUCCCAAAUAAUAACGGAGGCUUACAAAGGUUGGCUCAGAACGGUUGGAAAUCGUUCAUAGAGUAUAAAGGUAUAAGCCAGCUUAACUGCAAGACAUACAAGUCAAGCAGAGACGAAAGUCGGUCUUAGUGAUCCGGUGGUUCUGUGUGGAAGGGCCAUCGCUCAAAGGAUAAAAGGUACCCCGGGGAUAACAGGCUGAUCUCCCCCAAGAGCUCACAUCGACGGGGAGGUUUGGCACCUCGAUGUCGGCUCAUCGCAUCCUGGGGCUGGAGCAGGUCCCAAGGGUAUGGCUGUUCGCCAUUUAAAGCGGUACGCGAGCUGGGUUCAGAACGUCGUGAGACAGUUCGGUCCCUAUCUGCCGUGGGCGUAAGAAGAUUGAAGAGAUUUGACCCUAGUACGAGAGGACCGGGUUGAACAAACCACUGGUGUAGCUGUUGUUCUGCCAAGAGCAUCGCAGCGUAGCUAAGUUUGGAAAGGAUAAACGCUGAAAGCAUCUAAGCGUGAAGCCAACUCUAAGAUGAAUCUUCUCUAAGCUCUCUAGAAGACUACUAGUUUGAUAGGCUGGGUGUGUAAUGGAUGAAAGUCCUUUAGCUGACCAGUACUAAUAGAGCGUUUGGCUUAUCUUU